GACGAACGCUGGCGGCGUGCUUAACACAUGCAAGUCGAACGGAAAGGCCCUGCUUUUGUGGGGUGCUCGAGUGGCGAACGGGUGAGUAACACGUGAGUAACCUGCCCUUGACUUUGGGAUAACUUCAGGAAACUGGGGCUAAUACCGGAUAGGAGCUCCUGCUGCAUGGUGGGGGCUGGAAAGUUUCGGCGGUUGGGGAUGGACUCGCGGCUUAUCAGCUUGUUGGUGGGGUAGUGGCUUACCAAGGCUUUGACGGGUAGCCGGCCUGAGAGGGUGACCGGCCACAUUGGGACUGAGAUACGGCCCAGACUCCUACGGGAGGCAGCAGUGGGGAAUAUUGCACGAUGGGCGGAAGCCUGAUGCAGCAACGCCGCGUGCGGGAUGACGGCCUUCGGGUUGUAAACCGCUUUCGCCUGUGACGAAGCGUGAGUGACGGUAAUGGGUAAAGAAGCACCGGCUAACUACGUG
rnacentral:rRNA from 1 species